AGACCCGAAACCCGGUGAUCUAGCCAUGGGCAGGUUGAAGGUUGGGUAACACUAACUGGAGGACCGAACCGACUAAUGUUGAAAAAUUAGCGGAUGACCUGUGGCUGGGGGUGAAAGGCCAAUCAAACCGGGAGAUAGCUGGUUCUCCCCGAAAGCUAUUUAGGUAGCGCCUCGUGAAUUCAUCUCCGGGGGUAGAGCACUGUUUCGGCUAGGGGGCCAUCCCGGCUUACCAACCCGAUGCAAACUGCGAAUACCGGAGAAUGUUAUCACGGGAGACACACGGCGGGUGCUAACGUCCGUCGUGAAGAGGGAAACAACCCAGACCGCCAGCUAAGGUCCCAAAGUCAUGGUUAAGUGGGAAACGAUGUGGGAAGGCCCAGACAGCCAGGAUGUUGGCUUAGAAGCAGCCAUCAUUUAAAGAAAGCGUAAUAGCUCACUGGUCGAGUCGGCCUGCGCGGAAGAUGUAACGGGGCUAAACCAUGCACCGAAGCUGCGGCAGCGACGCUGAUGCGUUGUUGGGUAGGGGAGCGUUCUGUAAGCCUGCGAAGGUGACCUGUGAGGGUUGCUGGAGGUAUCAGAAGUGCGAAUGCUGACAUAAGUAACGAUAAAGCGGGUGAAAAGCCCGC
rnacentral:rRNA from 1 species